GACAGAGGGUGCAAACGUUGUUCGGAAUUACUGGGCGUAAAGCGUGUGUAGGCGGCCACGUAAGUCGGAUGUGAAAGCCCCGGGCUUAACCCGGGAAGUGCAUUCGAUACUGCGUGGCUUGAGUAUCGGAGAGGUUGGUGGAAUUCUCGGUGUAGAGGUGAAAUUCGUAGAUAUCGAGAGGAACACCGGUGGCGAAGGCGGCCAACUGGACGAAUACUGACGCUGAGACACGAAAGCGUGGGGAGCAAACAGG
rnacentral:rRNA from 1 species